rnacentral:rRNA from 1 species
UGGUGGAGUGAUUUGUCUGGUUAAUUCCGUUAACGAACGAGACCUCGACCUGCUAAAUAGUUCGGCGAAUCAUUCGUGAUUCGUGCAUGACUUCUUAGAGGGACUAUUGGUGUGUAGCCAAUGGAAGUUCGAGGCAAUAACA